rnacentral:rRNA from 1 species
AUGCAAGUCGAACGGCAGCACGGACUUCGGUCUGGUGGCGAGUGGCGAACGGGUGAGUAAUACAUCGGAACGUGUCCUGGAGUGGGGGAUAGCCCGGCGAAAGCCGGAUUAAUACCGCAUACGCUCUGACGAGGAAAGGGGGGGAUCUAAAGACCUCUCGCUCAAGGGGCGGCCGAUGGCAGAUUAACUAGUUGGUGGGGUAAAGGCCUACCAAGGCGACGAUCUGUAGCUGGUCUGAGAGGAC